GAUCCUGGCUCAGGAUGAACGCUAGCUACAGGCUUAACACAUGCAAGUCGAGGGGCAGCAUCAUCAAAGCUUGCUUUGAUGGAUGGCGACCGGCGCACGGGUGAGUAACACGUAUCCAACCUGCCGACAACACUGGGAUAGCCUUUCGAAAGAAAGAUUAAUACCGGAUGGCAUAAUUAUUCCGCAUGGGAUAAUUAUUAAAGAAUUUCGGUUGUCGAUGGGGAUGCGUUCCAUUAGG
rnacentral:rRNA from 1 species